UCGUCAGCUCGUGUUGUGAAAUGUUGGGUUAAGUCCCGCAACGAGCGCAACCCUUAUCCUUUGUUGCCAGCGGUUCGGCCGGGAACUCAAAGGAGACUGCCAGUGAUAAACUGGAGGAAGGUGGGGAUGACGUCAAGUCAUCAUGGCCCUUACGACCAGGGCUACACACGUGCUACAAUGGCAUAUACAAAGAGAAGCGACCUCGCGAGAGCAAGCGGACCUCAUAAAGUAUGUCGUAGUCCGGAUUGGAGUCUGCAACUCGACUCCAUGAAGUCGGAAUCGCUAGUAAUCGUAGAUCAGAAUGCUACGGUGAAUACGUUCCCGGGCCUUGUACACACCGCCCGUCACACCAUGGGAGUGGGUUGCAAAAGAAGUAGGUAGCUUAACCUUCGGGAGGGCGCUUACCACUUUGUGAUUCAUGACUGGGGUGAAGUCGUAACAAGGUAACCGUAGGGGAACCUGCGGUUGGAUCACCUCCUUA
rnacentral:rRNA from 1 species